rnacentral:rRNA from 1 species
GACGAACCGUCCAAACGUUAUUCGGAAUUACUGGGCUUAAAGGGUGCGUAGGCGGCUCUGCAAGUUGGGUGUGAAAUCCCUCGGCUCAACCGAGGAAUGGCGCCCAAAACUGUGGAGCUCGAGGGAGACAGAGGUGAGUGGAACUUGUGGUGGAGCGGUGAAAUGCAUAGAUAUCACGAGGAACUCCGAUUGCGCAGGCAGCUUACUAAACUACUACUGACGCUCAGGCACGAAGGCGUGGGGAUCAAACAGGAUUAGAUACCCCCGUAGU